CUCUGUCAUGGACGAUUGUAACUCUCAAAUUUGCAGAAAAGCUCUGGGGAAAUCCAGAGUUGCUUCACAUUUUCCUGUUCCAGUGUCAUGAACAAAAAGCAAUUAACCCUGAGAAAGGUCAAGACUAGCCAAUGGGGAGAUGAUCGACAGUUCAUCACAUCAGCCUGGUUAGGUGAUUUGAAGAUUUUUUUUUUUAAUUAUUAGGCUUUUUAUUUCUAUUUUUAUUCCUAUUCUAUGCCAUGAAGAUACUCUUGUAAGUUAAAACAACUACCCUGCUGAAAAAGAAAAGAAAAAGAAAUGAACAAACAGAAACUAUCACAGAAAUUCAAAUGGUUUCCACUACAAUUGCCAUUACAAACUUUUAACCAUUAAAGCCAUUU